CGCGGGGUAGAGCAGUUUGGUAGCUCGCAAGGCUCAUAACCUUGAGGUCACGGGUUCAAAUCCUGUCUCCGCUU
rnacentral:tRNA from 1 species